UACGUAGGUGGCAAGCGUUGUCCGGAUUUACUGGGCGUAAAGGGCUCGUAGGCGGUUUGUCACGUCGGGAGUGAAAACUCAGGGCUCAACCCUGAGCCUGCUUCCGAUACGGGCAGACUAGAGGUAUGCAGGGGAGAACGGAAUUCCUGGUGUAGCGGUGAAAUGCGCAGAUAUCAGGAAGAACACCCGUGGCUAAGGCGGCUCUCUAGUACGGUACUGACGCUGAGACGCGAAAGCGUGGGGAGCGAACAGG
rnacentral:rRNA from 1 species